rnacentral:rRNA from 1 species
UACGGGGGGGGCAAGCGUUGUUCGGAAUUACUGGGCGUAAAGGGCGCGUAGGCGGUUUGCUAAGUUGGACGUGAAAACUCUGGGCUUAACCCAGAGCCUGCAUCCAAAACUGGCAAGCUGGAGUAUUGGAGGGGGAAGCGGAAUUCCUGGUGUAGCAGUGAAAUGCGUAGAUAUCAGGAGGAACACCGGUGGCGAAGGCGGCUUCCUGGACCGACACUGACGCUGAGACGCGAAAGCGCGGGGAGCGAACGGG